UGCGACAGUGAUGAUGAGGAGGAUGUUGCCACAACGAUAGCAGCGACAGGGCAUUGGGGAAGACAGAAGCAACUCAACAGCUACAGUACUAGCAAAGAAACAAAUUGCUUGUGAAUAUCUGGAAGACUCUGAUGAGAGUGAUAUCUUGGUGACAAGCAAGACACCAAACAAUGGAAAAACACCAAACAAAUCACUCAGAAAAGAAAACGCAUAUGAAGACACUCUACACGAUAGUGACAAUGAGAGUGACGACGAUGAAUUGGUUACAGCUACGCUUAGACGGCGAUCUUAUCAAUUUAGUAGAUGAAUUAAACUCACUCCCACUAAAUCAGUAUAGUACUCCGAGUGCAACAUUGUAGUGUGGCAGCAUCAAAACUUAUCAAUUUUAGCUGUUGCCACAAACACACUCAGAGGAGUAUCAUUCACUAACUUUAAGGUUUACAAAUUUGUUUAGAAAUCAGUAUACUAUAUAAUUACCUGUGGAUAAAGUAAACAAAUGAUGUGGGUAUAUUAGGAGGAAUGGCCUCAGCAGGGGGCCGUUUAUGUAGAAGAGUCCCCGUUGAGGGAAAAAAAAACAAUUUGUUGGGGAGAACAAAAAUUAUAUGUAUUUUAAUUGCACAGAUGAUACCUCAAAAACUAGCUCAAAUUUACGCAGAGUAUUUCUAAAAAAAUAGUUGUGCAGAAUCGCAAUUACUGCAUAAUACAUUAUUUCUCCACUUGUCGACAUUGUUUAUUUCAGGUGGGUAAAUAUUGUGACACUACUUCUUACAUUAUUUUUCUUCUUAAAACUGGUACAGCAUGUUGGAUUAUGUCACUGUCAAAUUGCUUGCUUUCUUGGUCAUACAAUAGUUUCAAAGCUUAAAAUCUGAGAGAGUGUCUGUUCGUUAUUUUAACAUAGUUUUAUAGCUUAAAAUCUGAGGGAUAUGAGCCUGUACCUCCUCUUACCAAACUGAAUUUUUCAUUCAACACUGAGGGCCUGAAAGCGAAAAAAAUUGAUGUUUUCAAGUUGUUGCAAAAACCUUCGUACACUUCUUUAUUAACGCUUUAAGAGUUUGUAAGGAAAAUUAUUGUAGGGAUUUUAAUUUAGUUUCGCGGGCAACAAUAAAAUUGCUGUUAGACCGCAUGUGGCUAGCGGAUGCCCCACCUUUGGCCAAGACACAAUUUCCUACUGUAAAACUGUCAGUUCAGUGGAGGUCCUCAUACUCUUUGUCUUUAUUUAGCUCAAAACAAGGAGUUAUAAUAGUAUUCAUUUAUAAAAUGGAUUUUUGUUUUUUUUUAAUCUUCAUAUUUUUUCUAUACAGUUAUCACUCGUACGUAUAAAGUCAUAUCUACUUUUGGAUGUUAAGUAUUAGUUUAAUCUAGUUUGUACAACAUGUAGAGUAUAUUUUCAUUAGUCUUUAAAAGUGUGUGAAGUACAUUAUUUAUUAUUUUAUUAUUUUCAGAUGGAAAUUACAAUAUUACGCAUAGUAUGGUG